rnacentral:rRNA from 1 species
AACGAACGCUGGCGGCAGGCCUAACACAUGCAAGUCGAACGCCGUAGCAAUACGGAGUGGCAGACGGGUGAGUAACACGUGGGAACGUACCCUUCGGUUCGGGAUAACUCAGGGAAACUUGAGCUAAUACCGGAUACGUCCGAGAGGAGAAAGAUUUAUCGCCGAGGGAUCGGCCCGCGUCUGAUUAGCUUGUUGGUGAGGUAACGGCUCACCAAGGCGACGAUCAGUAGCUGGCUGAGAGGAUGAUCAGCCACAUUGGGACUGAGACACGGCCCAAACUCCUACGGGAGGCAGCAGUGGGGAAUAUUGGACAAUGGGCGCAAGCCUGAUCCGGCCAUGCCGCGUGAGUGAUGAAGG